rnacentral:rRNA from 1 species
CUCGGCCUACGGGGGGCAGCAGUGGGGAAUAUUGGGCAAUGGGCGCAAGCCUGACCCAGCAACGCCGCGUGAAGGAAGAAGGCUUUCGGGUUGUAAACUUCUUUUCUCAGGGACGAAGCAAGUGACGGUACCUGAGGAAUAAGCCACGGCUAACUACGUGCCAGCAGCCGCGGUAAUACGUAGGUGGCAAGCGUUAUCCGGAUUUACUGGGUGUAAAGGGCGUGUAGGCGGGACUGCUAGUCAGAUGUGAAAACCACGGGCUCAACCUGUGGCCUGCCUUUUAAAC